GGCGAACGCUGGCGGCGUGCUUAACACAUGCAAGUCGAACGGACAGGCCCUGCUUUUGUGGGGUGCUCGAGUGGCGAACGGGUGAGUAACACGUGAGUAACCUGUCCUUGUCUUUGGGGUAACUUCAGGAAAAUGGGGCUCAUACCGGAUAGGUGCUCCUGCUGCAUGUUGGUGGUUGGUAAGUUUCGGCGGUUGGGGCUGGUAUAGCGGCUUAUCCGCUUGUUGGUGGGGUAGUGGCUUACCAAGGCUUUGAAGGGUAGCCGGCCUGGGAGGGUGACCGGCCACAUUGGGACUGAGAGACGGCCCAGACUCCUACGGGAGGCAGCAGUGGGGAAUAUUGCAGAAUGGGCCGAAGCCAGAUGCAGCAACGCCGCGUGCGUGAUGACGGCCUUCGGGUUGUAAACCGCUUUCGCCGGUGACGAAGCGUGAGUGACGGUAAUGGGUAAAGAAGCACCGGCUAACUACGUG
rnacentral:rRNA from 1 species